rnacentral:ncRNA from 1 species
UCAUCUAAUCCAGUUAAAGAACAAUUGUUGACAAAUUCAGAAAUAUCAAAAUGGGAAGAAUUGAGCACAAUAAUAAUAUCACUAUAAUUUGACUCCACAACAACGUUGUCGAGACCUUAAUUCUUCAGUCAAGAGAAAGCCUCUCUAAUGGCAAUUAAUUUGAUCAAUCUCAAUUAGAAAGCAGAGAGAAUACGUCCGAGGAGGGGCUCACGUCUGAUUAGCUAGUUGGUGAGGCAAUAGCUUACCAAGGCGAUGAUCAGUAGCUGGCCCGAAAGGGUGAUUAGCCACACUGGACUGAGACACGACCCAGACUCUUACAGGAGGCAACACUGGGAAAUUUUCCGCAAUGGGCGAAAGCCUGACGGAGCAAUGCCGUGUGGAGGUAGAAGGCCCACGAGUCGUGAACUUCUUUUUCCCGGAGAAGAAGCAAUGACGGUAUUUGGGGAAUAAGCAUCAGCUAACUUUAUGCCAACAGCCGCGGUAAUACAGAGGAUGCAAGCAUUAUCC